rnacentral:lncRNA from 1 species
AUGUCACCCCCGUGUCUCAAAACGAAAACAUCCCUUUGUCUUCUAGCACCUUCCAGAACGGGGCAGUGGAAACUAGUGUUGGGACAAAGGAGGCGAGCAGGGCCUUUUCGGGGCUCACAGAGGACCCCUCGGAGGCGCGGCGGCGGGGGAGAGCGCGACAGUCCUCCAACCCCCGCCAACCGGGCAGGGGCCGCUCCCGAGGUGACAGAAGGAGGCGGGAGGUGGAGGAGAGAAGGUCCCGCCCCACCUCGCUCUCCUUUACGGGAAGUGAUGUGGGGCCAGGCGGAAAAUACCCGCCAAGAACCCAAAAAAGGCCAGCGGCGGGUGGACGCGGCGCGCGGGGACUCGAGCCGGGCGGGGACAGGACUGCGGGGCGAGCCAGGCGGUGGCUCGUUCCUGUGUUCCGGAGCUCCUGCUUGAAUGUGGAAGAAUCAACGCAGUCAGGAAUCAGUAGGUCGGUUUUUAGUCUCCAUAUUCCUGAUUAUUAACUAUGUGAUAUCACACCAGUAUCUCUCAGUUGGGGUUGAUUUUCUCGCCUGCCCCACCCCACAUGGGACAUUUAGCAAUGCCUGGCGACGUUUUUGACUGUCACAACUGGGGAGUAACUCCUGGCAUUUAGUGGGUGGAGGCCAGGGAUGCCGCAAAACAUUCCCAGUACACAGGACAGCCCCCAGCAAAGGAUUAUCCUGCCUAAAAUGUCAACAGUGCCGAGGCUAAGAAACCCUGCAUUAGACAAACCUCUUUGGCUUGCAGUUUCCCAAGUUACACGUUCUCGCCAUCAUGUAAAACUAAGCCUAACUCUACCACUGUUGUCUUUCUAACCUCUCCCUCACCCCAAUUCUUUUUUCUUUUUUCUUUUUUUUUUUUUUUUUUUUUUUGAGACGGAGUCUGGCUCUGUCGCCCAGGCUGGAGUGCAGUGGCCGGAUCUCAGCUCACUGCAAGCUCCGCCUCCUGGGUUCCCUCACCCCAAUUCUAAGUCAGUAAAUAUGGGGUAGGGCUCAGCCUGUUAUUUAUUUAUUUAUUUAUUUAUUUAUUUAUUUAUUUAUUGUCUCCACACGGGCUUCUGAUGGGCAGUUGCAGUUGAGGCUGAGAACCACUGCCCCCAGGGAUCAUGCGAAAUGGGGUUCUCGUGGAGGUGCCAGGUUGGCCAUAAGAGAGGAGUGGACCCUCUCGGAACAGCCUACCAGCAGGAGGAAGUGAGAGGCCUGUCUAUUGCGUGCUUCCACGUGAGCAGAAGCCACAUGCAUGAGCGACCACAGAGAACAUGUACCUGAAGGGUUACACAGGGACUUGGGCUCUCAGUUUCUGCACGAUAAGCUCUCAGCUGCCGGGAAUGUCUACUUCCCAGAUUUCCGGCUGACCACCAUACCCUGGAAAGGAAAUGAUAAAACGGGACAGUUUCUUUAUUAACACCCUGAUUCUAGCUUCACUAGAGCUUCUCUGGGAGGUUGAAAAUCAGUAACAAAAAACCUCACCCUGAGUCAUCAGCCCAUUUUGCCACCCAGAUAAGGAAACCACAUUUGUUACACUUACAGAAUUGUGUAAUUUAAGAGCUGGUAGGGACCUUGGAAAUUGUAGCUCAGGCUCCCCUCCCAGAAGUCCAGAGCUGUACCUCAGGUCACGUGGCUCAUUGAUGGCAGGGAUGGUUCCAGAAGCCUGGUCUGCUGGUUCCCUGGUGUGUUCUUUUUAUGUUCUUAUUCUAAUAUUUCUUGAUUGGAACCAGUGGUACUGUGGACAAUCCAAAAUUGUGUGUAUUGUUCAAAGGAAGUGACUUCUAGAUGGAACUUUGCUAACACCCAGAGUCUCUUCCUUGAACUCCUCUGAAAUAUGUUAGGAGGCAAAACAAGUAUAUCAUGAUUUCCCUGUGUUAAAGCAGUGCAGAAAUACCCAAGUGCCUUCUCUGUGCCAGCUGCUGGUUAAAGGCCUGUACUGCUACUUUUCCGUUCCAAUUCUUGCGCCUCCCUGCCAUAGCCCAUUUUUCACACAAAGCCAGUGAUGUCCAAAAAAAAGGAAUUCACACUCCUGAGGAGCAUGAAACAAAAUUUUAAAAAGUUAAAGGAAUUCAGGUCAUAUCCUUCUGCUUAAAAUCCCCUAGUUGCUUUCAUUGUAGUAGGUGUGAGAUCCACAUAGGUAGCUGUGGUCUGUAAGGGCCUCUAGUUUCCUUUUUUUCCCUUCUCCCUUCCUUUCCUACUUUCCCUUCUCCCUUCCGUUCCCCCUUCCCUUCUCCCUUCCUUCCCUUCCUUUCUUUUCUAUCUUCCCUUCCCUUCUUUCUUGUCUUUGUCACCCAGCUCACUGCAGCCUCAACAUCCUGGGCUCAAGUGGAUCCUCCUACCUCAGCCUCCCAAGUAACUAGGACCACAGGAACAUGUCACCAUGCUGGGCUAAUUUUUGUAUUUUUAGUAGAGAUGAGUUUUUACCAUGUUGGCCAGGCUGGUCUUGAACUCCUGACCUCAAGUGAUCUGCCUGCCUUGGCCUCCCAAAGUGCUGGGAUUACAGCUGUGAGCACUUCGCCCAUCCUGGACUUUAUUUUUAAAAUGAAAUCAGAAUGCCAGUUUAUUGAUACAUGAGAAGUGGAACUGCUAAGCAUAAUAGAUUCCUUUCUUUGAAGACAGCGUAUGCUUCCUAUAGGAAAAAUAUCCAGGUGAAGCAGAUAUAAAAGGAGAAAGCUACUGGGUAAGUAUAGACUCAGCACCCAGUGAAUUGGAAAUCAAAAAGACCCAAGAGCUUUGAUGCUGGAGAAAGAUUACCAUGUUAAUGGCUCCUCAAAACUGGCUGGAUGUGAAAAUUGCACAGGAAGCUUUUGUUUAAAACAUACCCACAAAAGAGUGUAAAUUGGUUCAACUAUUGUGGAAGACAGUGUGGUGAUUCCUCAAGGAUCUAGAACUAGAAUUACCAUUUGACCCAGCAAUCCCAUUACUGGGUGUAUACCCAAAGGAUUAUAAAUCAUGCUACUAUAAAGACACGUGCACACAUAUGUUUAUUGUGGCACUAUUCACAAUAGCAAAGACUUGGAACCAACUCAAAUGUCCAUCAAUGAUAGAUUGGAUUAAGAAAAUGUGGCACAUAUACACCAUGGAAUACUAUGCAGCCAUAAAAAAGGAGGUGUUUAUGUCCUUUGCAGAGACACGGAUAAAGCUGGAAACCAUCAUUCUCAGCAAACUGUCACAAGGACAGAAAACCAGACACCGCAUGUUCUCACUUAUAGGUGAGAAUUGAACAAUGAGAACACUUGAACACAGGGCAGGGAAUAUCACACACUGCAGCCUGUUGUGGGGUGAGGGAAGGGGGAGGGAUAGCAUUAGAAGAAAUACCUAAUGUAAAUUUUGAGUUGAUGGGUGCAGCAAACCAGCAUGGCACAUGUACACCUAUGUAUCAAACUUGCAUGUUGUACACAUGUACCCUAGAACUUAAAGUAUAAUAAUAAUAAUUAAAAAAAACAUACCCACAAGGAACAACAACACAUUUUUCAGUCUCUCCUUUGGAGAUUCUAAUUUAUUAGGUUUGUGGUGAGGGCUCGGGAAUCUAUGUUUUAUUUAAAAUACUGCUGUAGUGAUUGAUGGUGGACAGCCUGGUUUGGGAACCAGUGCCUAGCUCACCUUUACUUCCAGCAUGAGUAAACUCAGGCUGGAAGAGAUCAUAUGUCUCAUGCAGAGUCACACAGCAAGUGAGUGGGAAGAUAGAAUUCAAAUCUCCCUGUCCUCUGUAUGCAUCGUUCAAACAACAUAGUAAGAUUCUCAGGGACAGAGGCAGCACAGCCUCGGAAAUUGUUGGUUUCUUAGUUUUUUCCUCUAUAUACAUGUAACUAACCA